rnacentral:rRNA from 1 species
GACGAACGCUGGCGGCAUGCCUAAUACAUGCAAGUCGAGCGAACAGAUGAAGUGCUUGCACUUCUGACGUUAGCGGCGAACGGGUGAGUAACACGUAAGGAAUCUACCUAUAAGCGGGGGAUAACACUCGGAAACGGGUGCUAAUACCGCAUAAUAUCUUCUUCCGCAUGGAAGAAGAUUGAAAGACGGCUCUGCUGUCACUUAUAGAUGACCUUGCGGUGCAUUAGUUAGUUGGUGGGGUAAUAGCCUACCAAGACGAUGAUGCAUAGCCGACCUGGGAGGGUGGUCGGCCACAUUGGGACUGAGACACGGCCCAAACUCCUACGGGAGGCAGCAGUAGGGAAUCUUCCGCAAUGGGCGAAAGCCUGACGGAGCAAUGCCGCGUGAGUGAAGAAGGCCUUCGGGUCGUAAAACUCUGUUAUAAGAGAAGAACAAAUUGUAGAGUAACUGCUACAGUCUUGACGGUAUCUUAUCAGAAAGCCACGGCUAACUACGUGCCAGCCGCCGCGGUAA